GGCGAAAAUAAAUAGAAAGCCUUCGAUGGAAUGGAAGAAUCGCCUCUGUAAUCUCAACAAGGGAAGAUAAGUUUGAAUUUCGUCAAAACAGAAGGAAGAACAAUUAAAAAGGAAUCGGAAAGAGAAUCAAAGGAUUGAAAUGGUUGGGUUGGAAAAUAAACUGAAAAUCAAAAUUGAAAAAUGGGGGAAAUGAGAUCUGUUAAGAGAUCACUGGAAAAACAAGAGAUUUACG
rnacentral:misc_RNA from 1 species